rnacentral:rRNA from 1 species
AUCGUCAGCGACGCUGGCUUCGCUGUGGUGCGCGAUGCCCAUAAUAUUAUAAGGUAUUAUGAGGUACGCCAUCGCCGGUGUUAUGUCCGGUGUCGUCGUCGUGCACUUCUCCCCUAGUAGAACGUCGCGACCCGUUGGGUGCCGGUCUAAGACACGGAAAGGUAGACUGUCGCGUCGCUGUAAAAGGCGUAUGCGGUCAGACCUCCGAUCGUUCGGCCGGCUGCUCGGCGGUACUCGCACGGUAUUUGGCCGCAUUCGAAUGUGCGUCGGGCCCGCCGCAAGCGUGGUUCAGGGUAUCC